rnacentral:rRNA from 1 species
AGUGAACGCUGGCGGUAGGCCUAACACAUGCAAGUCGAACGGCAGCACAGUAAGAGCUUGCUCUUACGGGUGCGAGUGGCGGACGGGUGAGGAAUACAUCGGAAUCUACUUUUUCGUGGGGGAUAACGUAGGGAAACUUACGCUAAUACCGCAUACGACCUACGGGUGAAAGCAGGGGAUCUUCGGACCUUGCGCGAUUGAAUGAGCCGAUGUCGGAUUAGCUAGUUGGCGGGGUAAAGGCCCACCAAGGCGACGAUCCGUAGCUGGUCUGAGAGGAUGAUCAGCCACACUGGAACUGAGACACGGUCCAGACUCCUACGGGAGGCAGCAGUGGGGAAUAUUGGACAAUGGGCGCAAGCCUGAUCCAGCCAUACCGCGUGGGUGAAGAAGGCCUUCGGGUUGUAAAGCCCUUUUGUUGGGAAAGAAAAGCAGCAGGUUAAUACCCCGCUGUUCUGACGGUACCCAAAGAAUAAGCACCGGCUAACUUCGU